rnacentral:rRNA from 1 species
AUGAACGCUGGCGGUGUGCCUAAUACAUGCAAGUCGAGCGAACAGAUGAGGAGCUUGCUCCUCUGACGUUAGCGGCGGACGGGUGAGUAACACGUGGAUAACCUACCUAUAAGACUGGGAUAACUUCGGGAAACCGGAGCUAAUACCGGAUAAUAUAUUGAACCGCAUGGUUCAAUAGUGAAAGACGGUUUUGCUGUCACUUAUAGAUGGAUCCGCGCCGCAUUAGCUAGUUGGUAAGGUAACGGCUUACCAAGGCAACGAUGCGUAGCCGACCUGAGAGGGUGAUCGGCCACACUGGAACUGAGACACGGUCCAGACUCCUACGGGAGGCAGCAGUAGGGAAUCUUCCGCAAUGGGCGAAAGCCUGACGGAGCAACGCCGCGUGAGUGAUGAAGGUCUUCGGAUCGUAAAACUCUGUUAUUAGGGAAGAACAAAUGUGUAAGUAACUAUGCACGUCUUGACGGUACCUAAUCAGAAAGCCACGGCUAACUACGUG